rnacentral:rRNA from 1 species
AACGAACGCUGGCGGCAGGCCUAACACAUGCAAGUCGAGCGCGCCCUUCGGGGUGAGCGGCGGACGGGUGAGUAACGCGUGGGAACGUGCCCUUUUCUACGGAAUAGCCUCGGGAAACUGAGAGUAAUACCGUAUACGCCCUUUGGGGGAAAGAUUUAUCGGAAAAGGAUCGGCCCGCGUUGGAUUAGGUAGUUGGUGGGGUGAUGGCCUACCAAGCCGACGAUCCAUAGCUGGGUUGAGAGGAUGAUCAGCCACACUGGGACUGAGACACGGCCCAGACUCCUACGGGAGGCAGCAGUGGGGAAUCUUAGACAAUGGGGGCAACCCUGAUCUAGCCAUGCCGCGUGAGUGAUGAAGGCCUUAGGGUUGUAAAGCUCUUUCAGCUGGGAAGAUAAUGACGGUACCAGCAGAAGAAGCCCCGGCUAACUCCGUG